AAGAGCACGACAUUGCUCACAUUGCUUCCAGUUGCCCGCUUCGGCGGGCCCUUUUUU
rfam:Pantoea stewartii subsp. stewartii DC283 WGS_Sequence15, whole genome shotgun sequence.